CAGGAGAGUAAUCGUCCGUCCAGUUGGGUUUUCAUUUGUGAUUAUGAGAGACGGUUAGGUGACCCGUCAUUGGACUUUUCAAUUCAAAACGGGUUUAGAGGCCAAGUAUCGUGUUUGUUUCUUUAUAUCUCUCUCUUUCGAGGUCAUAAGUUUAGCUUGGUCUUCGUCGAUCCCGCGAUGAUGACGACGACGACGACGAC
rnacentral:lncRNA from 1 species